rnacentral:rRNA from 1 species
UACAGAGGGUGCGAGCGUUAAUCGGAAUUACUGGGCGUAAAGGGCGCGUAGGUGGUUAUUUAAGAUUGUUGUGAAAUCCCUGGGCUUAACCUGGGAACUGCGUCUGAUACUGGAAGGCUCGAGUUCGGGAGAGGAAUGUGGAAUUCCAGGUGUAGCGGUGAAAUGCGUAGAUAUCUGGAGGAACACCGGUGGCGAAGGCGGCAUUCUGGACCGAAACUGACGCUGAGGCGCGAAAGCCAGGGGAGCAAACGGG